rnacentral:rRNA from 1 species
UACGUAGGUGACAAGCGUUGUCCGGAUUUACUGGGCGUAAAGAGCGCGCAGGCGGCCGAGUAAGUCGAAUGUGAAAGCCCCCGGCUCAACUGGGGAACGUCAUUCGAUACUGUUCGGCUCGAAGAUAGGAGAGGGAAGCGGAAUUUCAGGUGUAGUGGUGAAAUGCGCAGAUAUCAGGAGGAACACCGGUGGCGAAGGCGGGUCUCUGGGCAGUGAACUGACGCUGGAGGAGCGAAAGCGUGGGGAGCGAACAGG